CCUGGUCAGUACCUGGAUGGGAGUCCUCCUGGGAAAACUAGG
rnacentral:rRNA from 1 species